GGUAGGUUACCCAAGUGGCCAACGGGGGCAGACUGUAAAUCUGCUAGCUUUGCUUUCCCUAGUUCGAAUCUAGGACCUACCACCA
rnacentral:tRNA from 1 species